AUGGAGAAGGACGGAAUGUUCUCGCUAUUAACAGCAGGGCAUGAGAGAAUUCUGGCUUACCCAUCCAAUACAACCAAAACAUGUUGCAAACGACGUACUCUGAUGGUGCCAACAGCUGUUACUGCAACUAUAGAAUCAAAUCGUGUAGAAAAUCAGACUGAUUUCCCUGCUGAAAAAGAGGGAUCAACUCCUCAAGAUGCGGUCUCAACGUCACUGCCUGCUCCUGAGGCAACAGAAGCAACUAACGCAACAGAACUUACAGCGGUUUCCACAACACCACCAGUAUUACAAUCAGAAGCCCAAACAGAUACAUCACAAUCAACAGAAGCUGGACCUAAAGAGACAAAGAGCCCUGAAGCCUCUACUGUCACUAAAGAGGCAGGAGCAGAAACUGGGAAAGCUAAAGAAACAGCGACUCCAUCAGAGACUCCACAUGUAGAGGUGGAGACUGAAGGUAUGGGCACAGGACAGUUGGUGGGGAUCGUAUUUGGCGCUUUGAUCACAGUGAUUGUUGUCAUUGCUAUUAUCAUCUUGGUGGCCAGAAGAAUGGGCCAAUACUCACCCUAAAAAGAAAGGCCCGACAGGACGAGAAGAAGAAGAAAUUCUGGAAGUUAUGAACUAUUGUUCUGAUGUUUAAAACAAUGCAAGCAGCACUCUCACCAUCCAUCCAGGACUUACACGGGGAGCAGGAGAGUGUCCCAUCCCCUUUCCCAUUGAAAAAAUGCCCUCCCCUUUUUUUGUCACCCUGAAAUCCUCAUUUAUCUCUCAACAGGGGAGGCCAGAGGAUGUUACAGUAUAUAUUUUUAAUGCAUAUUAAUUUAACGGGAGAUGAAUGAAUAUGGAGUUUGUGAAGGGCCUAAUAAACAAAAACAAAGAAACA
ensembl:lncRNA